ensembl:lncRNA
GGAGGAGGCAGCAGAGACUCUGCUCUCCUCGUUUGGAUUAAUUCUGAUAUAAUAACUGUUGGUUUAUUUAUCGGUGGAGCAGCACAACAUUUUCCACAGACAGUUUUCCUGCCCGUUGGCUUGUUUUAACCAGUUUUCUACCUUCGGCUGAUUCUACCAGCAGACACUGAAAGGACUCUAAUAGUUCGUUUCAGCUCCAGAGACGGCAGGCGGGACGAGUCAACGGAGGCCGGGUGGACGAAGGCAUGCAGCUGAGUACAAUCCAGAAAACAACAGAGGAGGAGUACAGCGGCCCAGGGCCAGAACAAACAGAGUAGCAUGACCAAAGAACUACAGACUCUUCACAACCUGCUCAAACUCUUGGUACAGGACCUCACCACACAGGUCAAAAAGGUUUCCGUCUCAUUUCUACUCUGAAGCUCACCUUCUCCUGCUCAAACUGCUGACAAAUGUUUCUGCUGCUCUAAAGUCUGCUCUCCAGAACUUCCUAAAAACUCUCAAAGUCUCUUCUGCUGCAGGUUGCUUUGUAGAACUGUUCCAGAAAACCUCACUAAACCACAUGGAGGGGCCUCAAGAUAGUCGUCCAAAUGAAACUGUACAAAAACCAAACUAGCACAACCCAAACGCUAAAGUCUCCUGCAACCUACCAGAGAACCUCUGAGAACAGAGAAUCAGGACAGGAACUCUUAC